rnacentral:rRNA from 1 species
CCUACGGGCGGCAGCAGUGGGGAAUAUUGGGCAAUGGGCGCAAGCCUGACCCAGCAACGCCGCGUGAAGGAAGAAGGCUUUCGGGUUGUAAACUUCUUUUCUCAGGGACGAAGCAAGUGACGGUACCUGAGGAAUAAGCCACGGCUAACUACGUGCCAGCAGCCGCGGCAAUACGUAGGUGGCAAGCGUUAUCCGGAUUUACUGGGUGUAAAGGGCGUGUAGGCGGGAAAGCAAGUCAGAUGUGAAAACCAUGGGCUCAACCUGUGGCCUGCAUUUGAAACUGUUUUUCUUGAGUACUGGAGAGGCAGGCGGAAUGCCUGGUGUAGCGGUGAAAUGCGUAGAUAUUAGGCAGAACACCAGUGGCGAAGGCAGUCUGCUGGACAGCAACUGACGCUGAGGCGCGAAAGCGUGGGGAGCAAACAGGAUUAGAUACCCUAGUAGUC